GAGGAAUAUUGGUCAAUGGGCGCAAGCCUGAACCAGCCAAGUAGCGUGCAGGAAGACGGCCCUAUGGGUUGUAAACUGCUUUUAUACGAGAAUAAUUUGAUGCACGUGUGCGUUAUUGCAUGUAUCGUAUGAAUAAGGACCGGCUAAUUCCGUGCCAGCAGCCGCGGUAAUACGGAAGGUCCAGGCGUUAUCCGGAUUUAUUGGGUUUAAAGGGAGUGUAGGCGGUUUGUUAAGCGUGUUGUGAAAUUUAGAUGCUCAACAUUUAACUUGCAGCGCGAACUGUCAGACUUGAGUACACGCAACGUAUGCGGAAUUCAUGGUGUAGCGGUGAAAUGCUUAGAUAUCAUGAAGAACUCCGAUUGCGAAGGCAGCUUACGGGAGCACAACUGACGCUGAAGCUCGAAGGUGCGGGUAUCAAACAGGAUUAGAUACCCUGGUAGUCCGCACAGUAAACGAUGGAUGCCCGUUGUUAGUUCACUUAAGAAUUAGCGACCAAGCGAAAGCAUUAAGCAUCCCACCUGGGGAGUACGCCGGCAACGGUG
rnacentral:rRNA from 1 species